CCGAGUUAUACAACUCCCAAACCCACUGUGAACCUUACCCAUCGUUGCUUCGGCGGGACCGCCCCGGGCCCCGCGCCCGGAACCAGGCGCCCGCCGGAGGCCCAAAAACUCUCAUGUUUCUCCUAGCGGAAUUCCUCUGAGUGGCCCUUAGCGGCAAGCAAAUGAAUCA
rnacentral:misc_RNA from 1 species